rnacentral:tRNA from 1 species
UCUCAGCUGGUAAAGAAUACGCCUGCAAUGUAGGAGGUCUGGGUUCAAUCCCUGGGUUGAGAA